GCGAGAGUAUAUAUGAAACAGUUAUUAAUGUAACAAAAGAACAUUUCUUUGAAAAUCCAAACAGACAUAUGAUUGUGUCAGCAAGUCCAGACGAGUUUAAGUUUAGUUUUUGCUAUAAAAUCAGAAGAAACACAACCGUAGAUAUUGGUGCAUGGCCCAACUGGAAGUUCAGUAUUUACGGAACAGAAAAUGGCUGUCCAGAAGGAUUUGUGCAAAGCACUUCUGAGAUAGUUCUACCAAAUAUUUCUCGAUGGGACUCGUACGGGUAUUUGCCUGACUUUGCAAUCAUAAAUAACGGGACAAACGAUUUGCUACAAAUUCAACUGUGCUCAAGAAAUAUUGAAAUUAAGACAGACAAGAAUUCUACUCUGAAGGAAGAAAUUAACGAUGAAACCCAUUUUAUCAACAUAACUAACCAUAAAAUUUACUGGACAAGCUUUUAUCUU